GCCGGGCCUGGCGCCCCCGGGCGGGAAGGCGGCCGCUGCAGCUGUCGCGGGGAGGCGGGGAGCGGGGUCUGGAGCGUGGCAGGUGCCGGGAAGGUCGCGGCCGCCUUCCUGGAGGCCCGCUCCUCCGCCCCGGGGCCUUCUCAGCCCGGCCUCGUGGGAAACGAGGGCCUUUGAGAACGUGUCAGGCGAUGAGACGGCCCUUUGGCCUCCGCCCCCUCUUCGAGUUGGCAGGUCCCGCCUGAACUCCCCAAAGUGGGCCUUUACCCAGUAAAGACCAGUCUUUAGAGAAAGGAGUUUCCUAAAUGGCAGAACUGAACUUGGUAAAAGACAGCGAACUAGUAACCUGAGUUUGUAAAUCAGUGGCGGACAAUGUAGGAGUUAGAAAACAAGGUAGAUCUGGCUGCCACGGCAGUAUUCAGGAGCUGUAAGGAGCCCGCUCAGGGUGAACCUGGUUCCAGGCCGGAAGCCAAAGCAAAGACCACAGGAUUUGUAACAAGAAACACCUACCCUUUCAGCAACAAUGUUUCCUCCUUAGACACUACCUACUCAUCAUGAAAAACACUCAACGGACAGUACACCUACUCAAAGUAUCUUAGAGGCACCCAAGCUACGGGCCAGAUGGUCAUGGAAGGAAGAAUUCUGGUACUAUAAAAACACAGUUAAGGGUGCUUGGCUGACUGUCGGUAGAAGUCGGUAGACUUCUGAUCUCAAGAGUUGUUUGAGAACCAAGCUUGGUAUAAAAAUUGCUUAAAAAUAAAAUCUUGAGGCACCUGGG